CCCGCGACAAGCGGUGGAGUAUGUGGUUUAAUUCGAUGCAACGCGAAGAACCUUACCUGGUCUUGACAUCCCAGAGAUCCCUUGGAAACUUGGGAGUGCUUCCAUUAGGAAGAAUCUGGAGACAGGUGCUGCAUGGCUGUCGUCAGCUCGUGUCGUGAGAUGUUGGGUUAAGUCCCGCAACGAGCGCAACCCUUGCCUUUAGUUGCCAGCAGUUCGGCUGGGCACUCUAAAGGGACUGCCGGUGUUAAACCGGAGGAAGUGGGGAUGACGUCAAGUCCUCAUGGCCUUUAUGACCAGGGCUACACACGUACUACAAUGGCCGAUACAAAGGGCAGCGACAUCGCGAGGUGAAGCCAAUCCCAUAAAAUCGGUCUCAGUCCGGAUUGGAGUCUGCAACUCGACUCCAUGAAGUUGGAAUCGCUAGUAAUCGUAGAUCAGCAUGCUACGGUGAAUACGUUCCCGGGCCUU
rnacentral:rRNA from 1 species